GAAACCACCUGCCAAUUAAGACAUGAAAGAAUAGUUAAUUCAUCAGUCUGAUGGACAGGGGAAGAAGUUAGAACCAAAGAAAAAUAGCAUUACAGAAUAAAUAUUUGUAAAACUGUCCAUGUCUUCUUCAAUAGGUAACUGUUAAAAAUAUCUGAUCAGAUAAUAUUAGGCAAUAUUCUUAUUCCUUCUUUUGGGGCAAUGUUUUUACUCUUUAAGGAAUGCCAUACAGAUGAGAAACAAAUAAGACACCAUUUAGAAUUCUCAAAAUAUCUGAGCAGGCAAUUUUCUUAUUUCUUCUUAUUUAUGAAUGUUUUACUAUUGAAGGACAACCAUACAGAUUAACAAAGUGCUUUUUGAAUGCUCAAAAUAUCUCAUAAUUCAAUUUUCUUAUUUUUUUCUUCUACGGCAAUGUUUUUACUUUUGAAGGCCUGCCAUACAGAUUAAUAAAAAACAUAACAAAACAACAAAAAAAAAAACAGAGCAUUUUGAAUCCUCAAAAUAUCUUAUCAGGAAAUUUUCUUAAUUUUCUUGUGUGACAAUAUUUUUACUGUGGAACGACUACCAUACAUAUAAAAAAAAUGGAGUAUUUCGAAUGCCCAAAAUAUCUGAUAAGGCAGUUUUCGUAUUUCUUCUUUUGUGGCAAUAUUUUUACUGUUGAAAACUGCCAUACAUAUAAAAAAUAUUGAAUGCUCUAAAUAUCUGAUUAGGCUAUUGCUUCUAAAUGAGUGAUAGUGGGAGACCAACUAGGAGAAUACUACAAUAUUUGUUAAGUUGAAGAAUUGCCAUACAAAUGAGAAUACACAAGAGAGCAUUUUUAAUGCUCAAAAUAUCUGAUUAUGCAAUUUUGUUUUUUCUUCUUAUUUGGCAAUGUCUUUACUUUUCAACAAAUGCCAUACAUAUAAUUUUAAAAAAAACACAAAAAACAGAGCCUUUUGCACGCUCAAAAUAUGUCAUCAGUCAAUUUUCUUUUUUCUUCUUGUGUAUAAUGUUUCUGAUGUUGAUGGACUGCCAUACAGAUGAAAAUAAAGACAAAAACAACAGCAUUUAAAAUGCUCAAAAUAUCUCAUCAGGGAAUAUUGUUACUUUUUUGAGGGCAAUUUUUUUGCUUCUGAAGAACUGCCAUACAGCUUUCAAAAAACAAAAAACAGAGCAUUUUGAAUGUUCAAAAUAUCUGAUAAGGUAAUUUUCUUAUUUCUUCUUGUGUGGCAAUGUUUUUACUGUGGAAUGACUGCCAUGCAGAUUAAAAAAAAAGAGAGAGAGAGAGACCAUUUUCAAUUCUCAAAAUAUCUUAACAGGCAAUAAUUUUCUUAUUUCUUCUUAUUUGUGAAUGUUUUUACUAUUGAAGGACAGCCAUAUAGAUUAAAACAAAACAGAGCAUUUAGAAUUCUCAAAAUAUCUGAUCAGGCAGUAUUCUUAUUCUUUUAUGGCAAUGUUUUUACUGUUGAAGGACUGCCAUACAGAUUUUUUAAAAAGUGAGCAUUUUGAAUGCUCAAAAUAUCUGAUCAGAUAAUUUUCUUACUGUAAUAGCUUACUAAUCGAAUUACAAAAGUUAUAGUAAUUGUACUGCCAUUAUUUUAAUGAUAAUAAACUAAAUGGAAUGUAGACUACAAGCAUGAAAAAAGGGUAGCUACUUUUAAAUAGCCUUUUUUGUAAUCUAGUGUCACUCUAAAAGCUUGGAGAUGCCUGAACAAUCAGGUAUGUUGAGACUAGCUGAAAAAAUUCUAUAUGUGACAGAAACAGUAAUAAUAUCAUGAACUAAUCUCUAGGAAUUUAAGGAAAAUUCUAGAGACAUCUUUGAGAAUGGAUAUAACCCCCCCCAUUAGAACCAUAAUAAAACAUAAGCCAUAAUUUAGUAAGCACUCACACUAAAACACUAUUAAGACAUACAAGAGAAAAAUAAGAAGUUGUCAAUAAUAGAUUUCCAAGCAUGGAAUUCAGUACACUUGAUUUACUCAACUCUUAAAAGUGAAAGAAGUGGGGAUACAAACACAAGACCCUUAAUAGUCAAAUGAGUAUUCUUCUCUGUUGAAAAACACUGGUCUUUUUGUUUUACAGAGAAAAUGAACAGAACCAAAGAAUGGUAAGUGAGUCUAAUUCCUGGGGAUUUUUCUCAUUUGUAUUCUUUAAGGAUUUGUUUAGAGUUGGCUUCUAUGUAUUCUCCUGACCAUUCUAGGAUACAGUGAGGAGGAUGCAGAAGAAGCCUCAAAACAAUGUUUGUAACAUGGAGCUUGCUAGGAGUUGUGUGAGACUCUCAUAAUUUAAACUAAAACUGCCACAGACACAAUUAUGCUUAUUCGUAGGAAUCUGGAAUUAGGGAAGAAGUCCUUUUUCAACACAUGAUGUUAGUUUUUGCAAGUGAUAUUAGGACUAUAUAUUCACUGUCUCCAACAGGAUUAUUCAUUACAAUCACUCUUCUCACCCUAAGCAAUUUAAAACACCAGUAAACAAGGUAAAUCAGAGUAUUGUUUCCCCUGAAAUUCUCUUGACACCUUCUUUCUUGCGGAUCUUUUCAGCUGCCAAGGAUUGAAAAUCUUUAUAAAAAAUGCCCAAAGCUGUAGAACCAAGUAUAACCUUUCCAGACUAAUGAAUUAAUAUAUUCACAUGGAUCUUAUCCUCUACACAUCAAAAUUACCUUCUCCAACUCCUGGCAUUCAGAUUUAUAUAUAACUCAUAGUUAGUGCUCUCCCCCUUACACCUGUCUAGGAACAUAACAGUUACCAAAUCUUGUCAGUUCCAGGGAGGGCUUUAAUUGUCAAAAAGCCUAGCAGGCCUUCCUGAAGAGGUUUCACCUCGACCCUCACUAUAUGAAGAGUAAGGAAGUUGUCCUAGAACAAGAGGUAAGUGAAUUAUACAUAAAGAGGCAUACCACCUGCAAAUUAAGACAUCAAAAAAUAGUUUAUUGAUCAGACUUAUGGCAAGGGGAAGAAUUUAGAACCAAAGACAGAGAGCAUUGCAAAAUAAAAAUUUGUCAAGCUAUCUAUGUCAUCUUCAAUUGGUAAAUGUUCAAAAUAUCUGAUCAGACAAUUUUCAGACAAAGAAAUCAACAUUAUCUAUUGUCAUACAAAAAUAUUCUUAAUGACUAAGGAUGAGAGAAAUGCACAUUCAAACAACUCUGAGGUAUCACCUCACACUUCUGAGAGUGGCUAUUAUGAGCAAAAAUAGUUGGAUGUUGGAAGGAUGUGGGAAAAGUGGGACACUAUAAGUACUAUUAUGGGGUUGUAAAUUGAAUCAACCUUUCUGGAGAGAAAUUUGGAAUAAUAACCAAAGGGUGAUCAAACCUGCAUCCUCUUUGACCCAGCAAUUACCCUAUUAGGUCUAGAAAAGGAUCUCUCUGUACAAAAACAUUUAUAGCAGUUCUUUUGGUAGUUAAGAAGUAUAAAUCAAAUGGAAUGCCCAUUAAUUGGAGAAUGGCCAAAGAAGCUGUGGUAUAUGUUUAUAAUGAAAUAUUAUUGUAUUAUGCCCUAAGAAAUGAGAAGCAGGUUAAUUUCAGGAAAAUGUGGUAAGUCCUGAAUUGAUUCAUAGUGAAUAGUACCAGGAGGUAGUACAUUGAAACAGGAAUAUUGUUGGAUAAAGAACUUUGAAUAACAAAUUGAAUAAAAUUAUUUAACAAAUAUUUUCAAACAAAUCCAAUCAACCAAAAUAAUCCCAAAGGACAAAUGAUUAAAAUAUCUGCCUGCAGAGAAAGAACCAAUCUUGAUUCAAUAUUGGCUGAAGCACGGUAUUUUUCAGUUUUUCUUUCUUUCAUUUUUUUCUUUUAUUUUAGUCUUGUCUAAAAUGAUUAAAAUGGAAAUAUUUUACAUUUUUGCACAAGCAUAAUUUGAAUCUGAUUGCUUGCUAUUUCAGAAAGAAGGGGAAGGAAUGAAGUGAGGAAGUGAUCAGAUUUCGAACUCAAAACUUUAACUAAAAUUCAUUUUUAAAUAAUAUAUUUUGCUUUAUCUAAAAAUGUUUCUUUCCCACAGUUGAACAAUAUAGAAAUAAAAAAAAAUACAUCAGAUUUGCCAUACGGGCAAAGUUUAGCACAAGGUAAUCUAAUGUAGUAUUUGUGGGCUUUCAGAAUGGUAGAUUAUCAUUACAAAUCACUAUAGCAGUAUCCUUGUUAAAUUACAAAAACCAAUGUACCCCUCAUCUGUUUCUAUCUUCACCUUAUUGGAAUAAAAGAAAUGGAGUGUAAUGUGCAAACAAGUCAAAAGAAGAGAUUAUGUUUAUGUUCAAAGAACAUUUCUCAGAGUAUUCUUGUGGAGAUGCCUGAAAUAGCUGAUAAGUUCAGACUGACUGAAGGAAUUUUAGAUUACCAAUCAAUAAGAAUAAAACCAAGAAUUAAAAUUUAUUGGUAUAUGAAAAUAUAAAAUUCUGCAUACCUCUCUGAAUUAAUAUGAGCACAAAAAUUAAAAACAAACUAAAAGCACAUACAGUCAUUUAGUAACCACAAUUAUGUAUUUUGAAUGACAAAAGAAUAUACAAAUAGUGAUGAAUGAGAAACUAUAAAAGGGGGGACACACAAGAGAAUAACUGAUAAAAAGCUGUCAAUAUUAUGUUCACUUCAAUGAAUAAAAUACAAAAUGCCUUAAAACACAUUACUAUUCCUGUUUUCAAGAGGAAAUUCUCUCUAUUAUUAAAGAAGAAAAAGAAAAAUUUAAUUUUGAAAAGGUAGGGGUGUUCAGUUCGAGGAUACAUUUAUAAUUUGGGUUCCACCAAGUUUUAUUCAGACUCUGUUUGUGUACCCUCUUCUGAAAAUAGUUUCACAUGGUGAGAAAAGAGAUGGUAAAGUCAUAAAUUCAAGGCUUCAUACAUGGGAAUGAAAGCACUUUUGCGGGGAAUUCUAAAGCAUAAAAAUCUUUUAUGAAGACAGACAAUGUUAUUCCUGGUUUAAGAAUUUUGAAUUGGAGGGGGAUUUUAAACCAUUUUAAAGUUAUUCUUAUGGAAAUAAUAGUAUAUAUAUAGUCAGUGUUUCCAAAAGGAUUAUUACUUAAAUCAAAUCACUUUUACUAGUUUACAUAAUAUAUAUUUAAAAGAAAACUAGUGAAAUUCAUCACUGGAAUUAUUUGAGGGGAGAAAUAUUGAAACAUAUAUUUAUAACCUGGUCAUUCACAAAUUUAAUCCCCAACACUCACCACUGAGCCAACUCCCUGUUAUUUAAAGAUAUAGGCAUAGACUUACACAGACAUGCACAGAUACAGAUAAAAAACAAGUUCAGCAAAACCUACCAAUAUAACUAAAACUGAAAAAAUCUACAAUCUUGAGUUUCUAUAUUCCAAAAUCCACUCUUCAGUGAGAAAUUCAUACUUAUUUCAUUUACUUUUUCUUAGCUUGGAGCUAAGAUUUUUCAAAAUAAGAUAAUCAAAGAAAGGUUAAUAUAAGAAAGGUAAUAUUUCAGAGUUGUUUUCAUUUCCAUUUUUUUUUUUUUUUUUGCAGUGGCGACUAUUAUCCUUACCUCACUUUGCAUCUGUUCAUCAAUGGUAAACUGCUCUGAAAUCUACGAUUAUGUCAUUAGAAUAUCCUUAAGUUACCAGUGAUGACUUCUGAUAGACAUUUAAAGGAUUUUGUUCUCAGUCUUUUUCUUUCUUUUUAAAAUAGUUUUUUUUUUUAAUGUAGCAAUAGAAAAAAAAAAGAAAAAGAAAAAAUGGCAUUAUCAUUUGCAGAACAUACUAUGAGAUAGGAUUCAAAAUAUAUAACAAUAAAUUUGUAUUUCAAGGAAAUAUAUAUAAUAAGUGAAUACAUUUCAUUUAGAACUCUGGGGGAACACAUUUUGUUCAGAAGUGUUCAUCUUUUCUUUGCUUCCUAAUAGGUUUUUGUUUUGUUCUUUUCUGUGCACAUUUUCCUCCAUUAUUUUUCUUUGCUUUCUUUCCCCACCAUCUCCCUCAAGGGGGAUGCAGUUAAACAAGAAUAUUUUUAUGCAUACUUACAUAUUUGUAUGCCUAUAUACAUGCAUGCAACACAUAUAUGUCCCCAUAUAUAAACAUUAUGGAGGAUACACUAAGUCUUGAAGGUGGGGAGUCAUCCAGAAAGAAUUCACAAACUAGGAUCAUCUUUGAUUCAAAGGACAAAAGGUUCUAUUAUGAUGCCAUAAGGCAGGCUAAACUCCUUAGCAGAACUAGCAAUGUAGAAGGGGAAAGACAGGACUUUCUAUAGGAAAGGACUCAAGGCAGGGCAUGCUAAAUAUUCUUAAUUAAGGAGUGUUUAUACAGAAUAACCUCAGGGCUGUGCAUCUGUAGCUUGGCUUCCUGAUUAUUGUAUAAAGUAACUAUGGGCAUCAGUUCAAGGUAGCGUUAUUGAUACAAAAUAUCCUGUGCACAUGAGAAAUGCAACAAAGGCCCACUAAGGAAUUAUGGAAUCCUGCCAGGAUUCCUGCCUGGGACCCACCUAGAAACAUAAGGUUGCUCCCAGGGACAGGAUUUUUUGCUAGGGUCUGUUCAUCCCACCACACCCACAUAUACAUAUUCUCAUAUGCAGACACAUAUACACAUAGAUACUUCUAAUCACACACAAAUAUACAGAUAUCCAUUCAUAUCCAUUCAUGUUUAUCUUCUAUCCUCCUCCUCAGGUCUAAGACUUUCCAUUUUUUUUUUAUAAAUCCACCAACUUGUCAUAUUCUAUUUCACAAUCAUAUUCUGACAUUAUGCAAUUUGUUUUAAAUAGUCUAAAACAAUAUGAAUAUGACUGAUAUAAUGUAGUUCAUUUUUUCUCUUUUGUGCAAAUCUAUUUUAAUUUUCUCUUUUGUCUUAGAUCAAAAAUUAUUACUCCUGGAUUUUUUCCCCUAGGAAAUUCUAUUCUUGAUUCUUGUUUGUGGACAUCUCUUUUUCCUAGUCCUGUGGACUCUUCUACUUCUAUUGCUAGUUUGGCUUGCUUAACUUCCCUUCCCAAGCCCACCCCGAUUCAAAGGAUGCUUCCUUUAUCUUCUGACACAACCCUUUAAUGGUAAUGGGAUAAAUAAGGAGAUAAUUUAAACAGCUUAUCCUAUUUUCCCUACACACCCUUCCAUAUACCACUUUAUUCUACUCCCAUUUCCCUCUUAUUUCUUAAAUUCUGAAAUAUUUUAUACCCUCCAUCAUGUAUAUGUAUUAUUUUCUCUUUAGCUCAUUUCGAAUUUGAGUAGGAUUUCAGAAUUACUAGCCCUCCUGCCCCAUAUCUAAUUCCACUAUAUCAGUUCUUACUCUUCCACACCUAAUAAAAUAAUAGAAUUAUUGUUUGUAGCUUUUCCCACAUGAUCUUGCUUUUUACAAUCAUAUCACACUCACCUCUAUCUCUUGAUAAUCUACAUAGUUUUAACAAUCACAGACAUGUGGUUUAAAUUUAUAUGUAUAAAACAAACAGUGUGUCCUUAAUGACUUCCUUGAUGUUAGGUCUUUGAUAGUUACCUUAUAUAUCAUGCUAUGUCAUCUUUUGUUUUUGCAACAAAAGCCUGAAAGUCUGGUAGUUUGUUGAAUGUCCUUUUUCCCAUUAAUUCAGGAUUAUAGUUAUUUUGUGCUGGACACUCUUUUUGUCUCAACCCUAAUUCUUUUUGAUUUUUUGACAAUAGUAUUUAAAGGCCUUUGGGCUUUCAUUGUACCUGCUGAUAUCAUGAGUGAUUUUAAUUCUGGUUUCUGCAUAGUUAAAUUGUUUGUCACUAUUAUUGUUUUUGUUGUUUCUAGUAGAAUUUUCUCAUUGAUCUGGGUUGUUUUGAAAUUUACCAUUGAUGUUGCUGUAGAUUUUCCUCAUUGGUUUUAUUUCAAUAGGUAACUGAUAGAUUUUUUUUCCUCUUUCUAUAUAAUUUCUUUCUUGCUUUAACACUUCAGGACAGUUUUGUUUCUUGUAAUAUUGCAAAAAGAUUUUUUUUUUUGAUAGUAGCUUUCAGGUAGUUCAAUUCUUCUGUUUUCUGCAGAUCUGUUGUUUUUCUUAUGUCUUAUAUUCUCUUCUGCUUUUUCAUUCUUUAUAUUUUGUUUUAUUAUUCCUUGAUCUUUUAUGAUUUUUCUGGCUUCCCUGUGCCCAGUUCUAUUUUUCAAAGUGUCAUUUUCUGUGACUCUGGAUAUUCUGUUCUUGUUGGUUGAAUUUUGUUUCAUAAUUUUUUUUGUUGUGUAUAUAUUUUGUUUGCUUGUUUUUUUCUUAAUUUCUCUCAUUUGAUUCUUAAAUUCUUUCUUGAAUUCUUCUAUAAAUUCCUCAUGGCUAUGUGUGCACUUGACAUUACUUGGAAGUAGAGCCUUUCUUUUUUUAAAUGUCAGAAACCUCCCCCCUUACAAGUUAAAAUUUGAUUCUUCGGUUCUUUCUCCUUUGCUUGUUCCCUUUUUUCUUUUGAAAUAAGAUCUUGCUAACACAAUCACCUCUCAUCUUGUGCUAGGGGGAUGUCCUCUGGCCUCAAGUAUUCCUUCAAUUCUCCCCUCUAACCUAAAACUAAACUAAGAUCUUCACCUUUCUGUAAAUGCCUACAGCCAGCAGGCUUCCUAUCCCAGUGCUUCUGCACUUACAUAGCAUGUCCUAGUUCCUUUUCUCCCAGCAUCAUGUCUGUGUUGUACAGCUAGGACUGUCAUUCCUUAUCAGCAGAGGUUUCCUCAAUCUUUUCCAUACUGCUUGGGAAAUGAACAUUCUUGUGGUUGGGGCUGAGGUGACAGCCCAUGCUAACUAAUCCCAGGGCUGACUCCCUACUCCCUACUGUUUAAGUGGCACUAACGUUGGAAGUAUUUACAGGUCAAAGAGGGGAAAUGCUCUUCCUAUUAUCUUCAGAUCUUCUCCUAAUAUCCCCAAAGGACUACUGUUCAUCCCCAGCUUCUAUUUGUUUUUCCCCUGCUUUAUGUAAGCUCAGAAGUGUAAUUUUGCCUUUGUAAUGUUCUUUUGUUGGGUUUUCUUGGUGGGGGGCACUCCCUGGAAGCAGCCUUCAUUUUAGUUCAGGAAUCACCACAAGUACCGCCAGGUGUUAAAGUCCAAAUCCUUGAUUGUCUCCUUCAAAGUCUUGUCUCCUUUCCUGGGACCCAGUUAGCUUACUUAAGAGGCCUAUCUCUCUCCUUGGUUCCAAGAGCUUGAGCUCCUGCUGACAGUCCUUUGUGUUCUCUGCCUCUGCCACCUUCUCUCCGAAUCCAAAGGUUUGUGCUUCAGCCUCCAGCCUUCUGUCUUCUCUGGCCUCUGUCUGUGGCUGAGUUUAUCUGAGGUCUCUUAUCAAAGGUGUGAAUCUUGUAGAACUAUAGUAACUACUAAGUACAUGUACUGAACUACAGAACUGUUAAAUACUAUGCUAAAUAAUCAUUGUCUCUUAUCAGUUCCACUGACUUAAGACUUAACACCUUUGGUAAGAAUCCUUGUUUCAGAGUUCUAGCCCAUAACAUUUCCCACUUUCUUUUGUUUUAGAACAUAAGUGGUCAUAACCUCCCUGAUUUCUCAAGGAGGUGAGAAUCCCAAAAAGGAGGUCACGCCUUCCCUGAUUGCUCAAAAAAGGGGGGAAAACACCAUAAAAGGAGGUGAUCACACCCUCCCUGAAACACCAAAGGAAAUGGGAAAUCACAUCACAUUGGCGGGUUAAUGAAGGGGCUCACUCUUAAAACAGGUAUGCAUAAAUCCAUCCAUAUGGGAGGUAUUACACUUAAUUAAUUACAUAAAUUACAUAAGAACAUAGCAAUAUAGGACAGGCUAGUAGUGAUGUAACAGAUAACAUGAAUCAACAUGAGGGAUUAUACAUGUCCAUAAGUCCUAGACAUAGUCCAAAAGGAAUCUAUUGUCCAUUGAAACUUCAUGUGCCAGGAAUCCAAUGAUUCCUGCAAAUUUUGAAAUCCUGCAAUAGUCUCAUCUACAAUUUUUCAGCUCAGGGAAUCCAAUGAUUGCUGCUGGUUUUGAAGUUCUGUAAUAGUCUCAUUAACAGCCAUGCUCUUUCAGUGUCAGAUGUUUCUUACUUUGUUUUGAGGUUUUUUUUCUGUUUUUUUCUCUCUCUCUCCAAUGGACGAGGCAAAUACAGUUCAUCAGCACCCAUCUGAUUCCUUCUCCAUCUGUAGAGAUCCAAGCAGUUAACCCAUCUAGUCCCUUCCAUUCACCACUUUCUGAUCUCUCCACAUCACCUGGCAAUUAUAUAAAGAUGGUGGAGCUGCUCACACUGGACCCUGCCCUUCUGUUGGGUUAUAAAAUCUGUCUGCCAGAACCAGUGCAUCUUUCUCAAAAAUUAAAAAAAAAUAAUGGUAUAGAGAGCUAAAUUUAGAAGUUCUCUAGGAUUACUUGUGGCUCCCCACUUUCUUUUGUUUUUGGAGGAAUGUCAAUGUCUCUGUUUCUCCUCUCUACUAUUGCCUUAAUUUGAGGAUUAAAAGGUACGCCAAUAGUGUGUAAAAUUUUAUACUGUGCACAAAAGUGCGCAAAAUACUUAGAAGUAUAUGCAGGUCCAUUAUCUGUUUUUAUUGUUUGUGGCACACCCAUAAUUGCAAAAGCUUGAAUAAGCAAUUCAGUGACCACUCAGGCUGUCUCUUUUGCUGUUGGUAUUGCAAAAGUGCAUCCUGAAAGGGUGUCUGCUACAAGGUGGAUAAAAGACAGACAACCAAAAUAUUUAUAAUUGGUCACAUCCACUUGCGAGAUUUCAACGGGUCUUAAAGCAAGAGGGUUCUUCCCUGGAGAGAACGUAGGAGCAUGGAAAGGAAGGCAAGCUGUACAGGCUUUUACUAUGCUCCUAGCUUUCUCUUUUGUUAUCCCAAAUUGUAAACAUAGAGCUUGAGCAGCCUGAUGGUAUUUACAAUGAGAUUCUUGGGCUUUCUGAAAUAAAGGAUUACUAGCUAACAUAGUUCAAAGGCUAUCUGACUUUGAAUUUCCAUCAAAAAUAGGACCUGGAAGUCCACCAUGUGAGUGGAUAUGCAAGAUAAUAAAUCUUACCUGGAUGCUUUCUCACUUGCUCUUGAAGUUCCUUAAAGAGCUGAUAAAUAUUAGAUGAUGCAAAUUUUAUUUGGGCUGUGUAAAUUCUUUGUACACACCUACUGAAUAGGCUGAAUCAGAUAUUAUAUUUAAAUCUCCUGGAUGAUAAGUUAAGAGCUAGAAUGAUUGCAUAUAAUUCAUUCUGCUGAGUGGACUGAAAAGGAGUUCUAACUACUCUCUUUAUGGUUAAAUCAUGAGAGUAUACAGAACAAAUAUUUUGUUUGGGGAUGCAUCUGUAAAGAUAGUUGGUCCUUUAAGAGGAACCUUAGAAACCUUUUCUUCAAAAAUUCAUUGCCAAUUAUGUAAUAGCCCGGUUAUCUUUAAUGGAGACCCAUGUGUAAAAUUUGGAGCCAUGACCAAUAAAAUUUGCCAUUCUGGGAUGGUUUCACAGCAUACAUCAAUUUGUGCAUUAGUAUAAAAGAUGUAUAUCUUGUCAGGUUUUAUAUCAGGUAAUUGUACUGCUCACUUAAUGGCCUUUAAUAAAAUUCUAGCCACAAGCACUGGGUAAGGAGUAAGGCUUUGUUCUGGUUGUGCUGGGAGGUUGACCUACUCUAUCACAUUGUCCCCUUGAUGAAGGACUACUGUGAGUGCCUCUUUUGUAGCAAAAACUGAUAUUUCCAAGGGUUUUUGAGUGCCUCUUUCAACCACAUAGGAUAAAGCCAGUUCAACUUCUCUCAUAGUCUCUUGAGCUUCUUUUGUAAGCUGGUGUGGUGAGUUGAAAGCAGUGUCUCUCCUCAAAAUGUCACAUAGAGGUUGCAAUUGAUAGGUAGUCAAGCCUAACACUGGACGCGCAUCUAUUGGCUAUCUCCUUUCAAUUUCUGAAAGUCAUAUUAGGUGUUCAACUUCUCUGUUCUUAAAGAAAGCUUUUGUACUGUAAGCGCCUUAGGAUAUACUUCAUAUCCUAAAUAUUAAAAUGGAGCAUGCCUUUGAAUUUUAGUUCCUUAAUGUUUCUAUGGUCUUUUGUAAACAUACUUCUAACAUUUGUUCCUCAGAUGCACACCCCAAGAUACCAUCCAUAAAAUGUAACAAUAUUACUUUUGGAAAUGCUCUUCUUACUGGACUAAAAGCAGCAACAUACAUUUGACACAUAGUAGGGCUGUUUUUCAUUCCCUGUCACAAAACUGUCCAUUCAUAUCUUUUAUAAUGCUCAGCUAAAUUAAUGCUGGGCACUGAAAAGGCAAAUCUUUCCAUAUCCUCCCUAUCUAGAGGGAUAGAAUAGAAACAAUCCUUAAUGUCUAUAGCCCAAAGAGGCCAUUCUCUAGGCAACUGAGUAGGAGAUGGAAGUCCAGGCUGAAGAGUUCCCAUAGUUUCCAUCUGUUCACUUACUCUUCUUAAAUCAGUCAACAUCCUCCAUUUUCCAGAUUUCUUUUUUACAACAAAUAUAGAAGAAUUCUAAGGACUUAGAGAAGGUUGUAAGUGUCCUUGGUCAAGUUGCUCUUGCACUAUACUAAGGUCUGAAUUUGAUCACUUGUUAAGGGCCGCUGUUUUACCCACACUAGAGUAUCAGUUUUUCUUUCUUUUUUUUUUUUCUUCACAAAAAUAGAUGAAGAUUUUACUUGACUUUAGCAAUCAAGAGAUUAACAGAACUCAGUAUCCAUUAUUCUUGCUUAUCCAAAAUAAUUCAAACCCACCUGCUGCUCUGGAAAACAAUUCCAAACCACUGGCUUCUAAUUAUUCACUAUGAAAGGCCAUUACAGCAAGGGUUGUAUGUUUGCAUAGAAAAGGGCCAAAGUCAGGAAGUGACAGCCAGAGAGGUAUCUCCUGAGAUUUCCUGUGCUCAAGAUCACAGAACUCCCCCUACUUGCUUCUUUAAAAAAGUUACUUCUACGAGCAAGGGGGAGACUGGGGCAAGAUACUUCACAUGGCCAGAUGAGAGCCUGGAUGCAUCAGUUCUCUGCUUUGCUAAAUGUGACCAACCAAAGCAGCUAGUUGGAGAUAAAGGGUUAGUGAACAAAAGGAAAUUCCCAGUCAUUUCUUUGAAUGACCUCUAAAUGCAGGGCUAUAACUGAAAGCAGUGCAAAUUCACUUGGACUCGCUUCAUCUUGGCUUGACCAAUUCAACAGCAGUUAGGUGACAGAGAGGACUCAUCAUUUCAGUGCCCAGACCAGGCUCUGGAAUGGGGCUGUCUCACUGAGUCCCUUUAUAGAAAAGUAAAGGCUACAGGCUGGUAAAGCCCGAGCUGUUAUCUGAGCUAACAAAGACUGAUCCAAAAGGAUGAAAGUUAAAAAGUAUUGUAAAGAUGGGUCAUCAGGACACGAUCCUCAGAAGAAAGAAAGACUAAGUAGAUUUAGUAGUUUCAGAUUUAGAAUCAAUCUUGACUCAUUAUUCUUAAGAAGGGCUUUUUGGCCUACUCUACACCUGAGGCCAAGCAGUUGUGACACUUUUUAAAGUGAGUGGCAGAACACAUGGUCAUCAUACACUUGUCGCUCAGCCUCUGAGAAGACCUCAUCACAAUAUGGACAGUCCAGGAUAUGGGUCUGCAGGUGCUGCUGGAAGACGGUUUCUUCCACAUCAUCAGGGAAGACCCCAUGGCAGAUGGGGCACAUGGAUAUCUUGGGUAGCAGAAUAAGGAUUUCCAAAGAUGAGUCCAGGGUUUUCUUCUAGGGCUUCUUGAACAGGAGCAGGAUUAGAGAGCAGUUUAGAUUCAGACUUCUUGCAGACAUAACACAUAAGCUUCUGGUUUUCCUUCUACAAGAGAUCUUUUUCUCCUUCUACUCUGGUCUUCUCCCUCUGUAGCUCCUGAUAGAAAAACUUGUUCUCAUCUAGCCUCUUCAUCAGGUCACUGAUCUGGUUCGUGAGUUCCUGGUGCUUCUGGGUUGAUGCAGUUUCCUUUUGCUUCAUUUUCCUCCACAGUCUGUUCAAGCUUCUGCUGGUGCUCCCUCUGUUUUGUCAAACUGAGAAGUAGCUGUUCAUUUUCCUUCUUCAAAUGCUCCAACUGCUCUGUCUUGUCCCAAUUUCCCUGAGACAGUUUCUCCAUUUCUUUCUCUUGUAUGGAAAUCUGUGCCUGAAGCUGAUCAAGAUGAUCAAGAGUAGUCUUCAGCCUGACACAUAUUUUCUCAUUUUCUGAGGCCACAUUCUGAUUCUGUACUUUAAAUUGAAGUAAUUCUGUCUCCCAACAGCCCUUCUGUACUUUCAGACUCUUGUUUUCUUCAUUCAGGACAUUGACCUUCUGCUCCAAUGUUUUUGUUUGUUUGUUUGUUUUUGUUUUGUUUUUUUACUCAUUUUUUUUAUUUAAUAGCCUUUUAUUUACAGGUUAUAUGCAUGGGUAACUUUACAGCAUUAACAAUUGCCAAACCUCUUGUUCCAAUUUUUCACCUCUUACCCCCCACCCCCUCCCCCAGAUGGCAGGAUGACCAGUAGAUGUUAAACAUAUUAAAAUAUAAAUUAGAUACAUAAUAAGUAUACAUGACCAAACCGUUAUUUUGCUGUACAAAAAGAAUCAGACUCUGAAAUAUUGUGCAAUUAGCUUGUGAAGGAAAUAAAAAAAUACAGGUGGGCAUAAAUAUAAGGAUUGGGAAUUCAAUGUAAUGGUUUUUAGUCAUCUCCCAGAGUUCUUUCUCUGGGAAUAGCUGGUUCAGUUCAUUACUGCUCCAUUGGAAAUGAUUUGAUUGAUCUCAUUGCUAAGGAUGGCCAGGUCCAUCAGAACUGGUCAUCAUCUAGUAUUGUUGUUGAAGUAUAUAAUGAUCUCCUGGUCCUGCUCCCAAUGUUUUGUUGAUCUCUGUCAGCGACUCUAGUCUCUCCUGCAGUUCCUGAGUUUUUUGGAGUUCAGCAUGCAUGUCUGAAUUCUGUUUCUGGAGACUAAUACAGCUGUCUUUCAGCUCCUGGUUUUGUUGGCUAAGUUCCUUAUUGAGCUGCUCAAUCUCCUGCACUUCUCCCUGAGUGAUGACCACCAAGAUGUCCUCCCUCACUUUCUGGACGGAACUGGAAAGGGAAACUGGCUCCCCGGACAACACCAUCCUGAUCCACAUAGCAGAACUGAUAAUAUUCAUCAUCUUUAGGUAGGUAGUAAGGUUUAAACUGCACUUGUUGCUGCAAAGAUGAUUUACUAUUGAGGUCAGCAGGCAAAGUAGCCCACAUAAAGGUGUAAUAUUCUUGGGUUGUCUUCCAUCCUACCCUAAAGAUGCCAAUCCAGUCCUUUCGGCAGGGAAUGAAAUGCUGGGUGAAGGUAUAAUGGUAUGUGAUGUCUCCCCCAGGGAUGUAAAACUUCUCCACGUUGUUAAAGAUGAUCUGAGAGAAAUGGAAAUGAUCCAGCAGGACAGCUGAUGUUGGGGGCUCCUCACCUGUCUCUUCCAUGAUGGGCGGUCCUGCUGCAGCAACAGCAACAAGCAGUUGUAUUGCAACAGCAACAGGGGCAGGGGCCCAGUUUUUCACUGUAUAGGAACAGGUAAGAGUGCAGGCAGGUCUUCAAUAGCAGCCCUACCUAAAAAACCUAAGUACUCAAUUGUAAUUUUAUCUGCUGUACAAUGUCUCCUCUCCACAGAUUCAUGGGAAUUUUUUUAAACCACAAAAUGAGUAAAAAUUCCUGUUUCAUUAUCAAAUGUCCAUCUCAUAAGGGCUGCACCAACUUCUGCUGCUACUGAUCCUCCUACACCAGACAGAUGUCUGCCUUAGUCUUUGGCCAGUGACUGGGCCAGUUGAGACCUCUAAGAACUGUACAGUCUGUACCCGUGUCUACCAAUCCUUCUAAUGGUAUGACAUUCACCUAAAUAAUGAGCAUAAGUCAGUCAGCUGUAACUGCUGCAAUCCUGAAUAUUCCUGCAGAAUCUCCUGCUUGGAGUCAUAAUCUGGGCAACUAUCAUCAGAUUGCCUAUUAGGGGUAUGUGACAGUAAACCUGAUGCUACUACUUCUCCUGAUAAGUCACACAUUGUCUACCUGUGUUUAGUGACUGGGAUAUUAGCUAUAUAUUCCCCAGUUUCCCACAUCAGUGUAUGGAUGAACCCUGUUUUGUAAGCACUCUUCAGAAGGUCAAAUGGUCAAGCCUACUGUGUCUGGAAACAAAGGAUCCAUAGGCCAGGAAGGAACAGAUUUCACCUCUGCAAGGGAUAUCUCAGUAGUCCCUACUGCAUACAUCUCUAUUUUCCCUAAUUGCAAUCCCUUUUUCCCCUCUGACUGCUUCUUGACUGAUUGAUCAUGUAAGCCCUUUCUGCCAUCUGAUUGCCUUAUGGCUGAUUGAUCAUGUCUUAAUAUUGAAUUUCUAAAGACUCUCUGGGUAUAACCUUGGCUGCCAUCAUGUCCCACCUGGGGCCCUGAAGCUGGGCUCUACCUCUGAUUUCCCUGGGUCAAUCUAUAUUCUGAGGCCUAAUGGAAACCUAGGUACCAUUUUGGACUUAAGGUUUUGGGCCUUCUCUCACCCUGUCUUCUCAUUCUAUCUGUAUACCUAUAUUAGGCUCUCAGAUGUCCAAUUUUUUCACACUGAAAGCAUUGACAAGUCUCUCUAGAAGUCCCUUUCCAAGAGGGACCUUCUGUCUUCUCAUGUUCACCAUAGUCUGAGUAUAAUAAACAUUUGUGCCCUCUUUGGCACUGCAUUUUAUUAUCUCCUCUAAAGAAGCAUCUUUGUGUAGUCCCCAUAUAAUUCUUUUGCAAACCUCAUUGGCUUUUUCCUUAGCCAGUUGUCUUAUAAUUCUUGUAGCUGCAUUUUCUCCAAUGGUUCUUGUGACAGCUGUUUGCAAACGUCCCACAAAAUCCACAAAGGGUUCAUUGGAACCUUGCUCUAUUUUUGUGAAGGCUUCCCUCGAGUCUUUCCUGGGAAAGAACCCCAAGCUUUCAUAGCAGCAGUAGCAAUUUGCUCAUACUCUGCUACGGGGUAAUUAAUGUGUGCUGAAUUGUCUUCAUUCUGACCUACACCUGCUAGUUGGUCAAAGGUGAUUGGAAUAUUAAUUCCAGUUUGCUUAUUGAGUUGGGCUUGAAGCCUACAUAAUUCACUAUACUCCAAAAGCCACAACAAGUUUUGUCCAGGUUCUAAACAUGUCCUUGCUAUAGAUUUCCAAUCACUAGGGGUUAAAAUAUCAUAAGCUAAAUACUCUAGUAACAUCUUAACACAAAAUUUUGUAGCCCCAUAAAGAGUACAAACCUUUUUCAAAUUCUUAAUUUUUUUCAGAUCAAAAAGAGUGUAUCUUCUCCUUUGUUGCCCUGAAGAGUCAAGCUCUUCAAUCACAGGGUAUGCAUUUAUUUUUAAAUCAGAUAUAUCCUGUCCUCCUUUGCCUUAACCAGUGCCUUUUGUCAUCUUGUCAUAGAUUGCUUCAUAGGUGGUGCUGAUUGUGUCACUGCCUCUCCCCUUCCUCCUUCUCCCUCUGCCCAUGAAGGGUUAAUUGAGGGAAGUAGGUCAGGGGAAUGCCCUAAAUUUUCCUGUUGUGAAGUAUCACACUCAGAAUUGUACUUAACUCUAUUCUUAUCUGAUUGUUCAUCCUUUUCACCUAGUUUAUCUGGAUCCUCCUCCUCCUGCUCUUUCUUCUUUUUCCUUAUUCUAUAAACUUAUAAUUUAAUACAACUGGCUUUAAGAAAUUAUAUAUCUAUAAAGUGUUUCUUUGGAAACUGAGUCAGGCAUAUUCAACAUAUAUAUGACUGUUUGCCAUCUAGGGGAGAGGGUGGAGGGAGAGAGGGGGAAAAUCGGAAGAGAAGUGAGUGCACGGGAUAAUGUUUGGAAUAAAUAAAUUUUAAAAAAAAGGAAACUGAGUCAGGUCCAUUAUCAUUGUAGUAUUGACAUAGUUGCACUUCUUCUAAUUUCCACUUGUUUGGAUUUAGUUCUUUUUCCUUAGGACAUGUGUACUGUACAGUUUCUAAAAGUUCAAUGAUCUGCUCCCAAGUUACAAUUAAACCUUGAUUUUUUAUCAGUCUAACCAAGCUUUCAACACAUUUGCCUUUCGGUGGAGAGAAAAUUCCAAGCUCUCCACAUUUCCCCCAUAAAAAAAGACAUGUUAUGGGCCAGAACUCUGAAACAAGGAUUCUUACAAGAUGUUAAAUCAGUGGAAUUGAUAAAGACAAUGGUAGUUUAGUACAUGUACUUAGUACUUUAGUUCUACAAGAUUCACACUUAUGAUAAGAGAGCAUAUAAGCUCAGACAAACUCAGCCACAGCAGAGGUCAGAGAAGACAGAAAGGUGAAGGCUGAAUCACAAACCUUUUUUAUUUAUUAUAAUAAUUUUUUAUUGACAGAACCCAUGCCAGGGUAAUUUUUUACAACAUUUAUUUUACAUAAGCCCUUUCUUUUCUCCAAUUUAGUCAUCACUUUGAUGACAUUCUUCUCUGUAAAUGUCUGGGAGGAACCUCAAAAAGUCUAAGAGAAAGUAAAGAGGCUUUGAUGCCUGAGGCACCACAUGAACAGUUCUAGGUGUGGGAGUGGCCAGAAAUGUCUGAAGACCUGGGAUUAGAGGUAAGCUGGCAAUACCUCUGGGUGGGAGGUUACAAGUGGCAGCCCAAGGUGGGGGCAGCACUUUUAAGGUUUUUAGGCCCUGCAAAGCAAGGUCCACCAAUCUUGUCUAGAGAGAGGAGAAGACAGAGAAGUGUGAUGGAUCUGGGCCUAAAUUUACCCGUGGUCAUACCCGAGGACACAGCUGUGCACACAGCUCAAGUAUACAGGAGAGCCAGACCAGUGAUUCUCUAGCAGAGAACACCUCUGAUUAGGGGCAGGGGACUUUCUCUCAGGCUCUGAGGCAUUUUAUCCCAUGCCCAUUAAGUACAACUCAGCACGGAAAAAAAAAAAUCAGGGGAUGAAGGAGGCAAUUACGCAGUUAGAACAAAAGGUGCAAAAGUUACAGGUUAAGUUAGCAAAGGAAUGAAAAGUUACUUUACAGCCCUUAGAACAAAAAGUAUAAGAGCUUAGCCUACUGGCUGAGGCAGAGAAGGAACAAAAAGCUACUUUAUAGCAGUUAAUAAUGGGAGAACCAAGUGAAUACAAUGGGUUAGAAUCCACAUAGAAGCGGAGCAAGAUGCGAGAAGACACACGACUUUCUAAGCUCUUCUCUUACCCCUUUAUCAAUAUAUAUCAAGCCUCAAAAAUAGUCUUGACUGCUACAAUUCGUAAAGAUAAGAAGUAGAACAACUCACCAGCCAAAGAAAAUCUGUAGUCUCGCCAAAAAAAGGUUGGUUCCGGGGCCAGCGGGGAGAUCAGCACAGACGGGGAAAGAAAUUAGGUUCCGAGGAGAGCCUCAAACCAAAAGUGAAAGCACAGAUCUCAGCACAAGCUGGCAGCCCCACCCCGCAGUAUGGGGCUUUUCCUUGGGGCAGUUGUGAUCCUGCACGUGAGGCACAGCCGGUUGCUCUCCAAUCUGCGAGUGUGCUCUGCUUGAGGCCAUAGAGCUUCUCCAGGGCCAAUUUGCAUCAGGCAGAGACGCUGGGCAGAGUUUCGGCAGGUCUGCAGGUCUGCGUCUGUGGUCUGUGGUCUGCGGUCAGCUGCUAAUACUCACAGUCCCACAAGAGGCUCCGGCCUGG
ensembl:lncRNA